rnacentral:lncRNA from 1 species
CACAGACACAGAGUUGGAGCAAUCAAGAAUAACCUUUUUUGAAAAACAGCGUGCUGGACAAGGAGACUAUAUCCUUUCCAAAGAUCUUCGCUGUUGAUUAAUCAGGAAUACAGUAACAAGCAUGAUUUCCAUUGAGAGAGCGGCAGGGGAUGACUUCCAGUAUCCAUGCAGCCGUGAACUCAUUGUAAUGGUGAAGCGUCUCAUAGACUACUACCCAAUGCUGCGGGACAGAUCUGCAACCAGUGGAGCUGAGUGGGUCACUUCUCAGUAUUGGGUAGUAGUCACUUCUCAGGUAUUCAACACAUGUUUCCAAACACAGCACUGUUGGAUACCUGGCAACCAAAGUGCAAACAUCUGACACUCAAAAUAGCAGGGAUGUGCUUCAUCCAGAUCAAUCAGGGAAACAUGUGUCUGCUUGUAUCGUUUCAUUUCUGUGGAAUAUGUUUAUGAUGUACAGGAUCAGGGCAGCAAAUACAUACUCCUCUGGAUCCAGGGCAUACUUCUGCCUGCCCAUUACCAGCUGGCAGUCAAUCACCAGGAGGGAAAAGGUGAUGGAGGAAAGAAAGGGUUUAGGGUGCAAUAGAUGGAGGUAUUCAUUCUGGCUACAAGGCUGCAUAAACAGAAAGAACCUAAUAAAAGGAGAUAUAACAUUGAGUGAGUUCUAUAUCAGUGAGAAGGGCAGGGCUCCCAGAGAUCCAUAGACUAUCUGCAGCACAUUGGAGUAGUAGAAACAGCAGAAGAAGCUGAACAUGAGAAGGUCCACUGCCCCAGCACCAGCAGGAUGCCAUUACAACGCGUGAAGUCCACGCUUUGUAAUGUCUGCAGACCAAAGAGAGGAUGAUUUGAAAAAAACAGUCUGACCUGGGCUGAGAAGAUGAUGAUGGUGAAGGAGAUGACCACUGUUGCUCCCAUGGCGAUGACUACAGCAGUGGUGUCGGGGAAUGAGGCCACAGUGCUGACCAUGUAGGAAAGGCUGAGAGCGACCACUGACUAGAGGCAGUUCCAGGGAUGGCUACUGCUAAAUGAGCUGCAGCAGAUGAGGCAGAUGGCCACUGAAGUAAACAGGAUGGAGGAGCUGAGGUUUUUGUCCUGCUGAAAGGUGAAUUCAUCUCCCAGUGUCUGGUGAAAAGGAGACUGAACCAGGCUUUUCUCAAGGAUUUUGCCUGUGUUUAGAUGCAUUUCGUUUAUUUCCCUAGUCCUUAACGAUUGCAAGAAUACCCAUAUAACAUGAUGCAGCCACCAAAAAGUGAAUUAUUUUGCUAUUUUUUUUGUUGAAAACAGGAUGCAUGUUUUGGAGUAUUUUUAUUCUGUACAGGCUUCCUUUUCACUCACUGGAGUAACUACAAUAUUGAUGAUCCAUCCUCUGUUAUCUCCUAUUACAGCCAUUAAACUCUAACUGUUUUAAAGUCACCAUAGGCCUCAUGGUUAAAUCCCUGAGCGGUUUCCUUCCUCUCCGGCAACUGAGUUAGGAAGGACACCUGUAUCUUUAGUGACUGGGUGUAUUGAUGCUUUUUUUUUUUUUUUUAACUCAUCUACCAAUAGGUCUUUGAGGUUGAAUCUGUGUUUGGAACAAUACAGAUAAUUGUAUUUGUGGGGUAUAGAGAUGAGGUAAUCAUUCAAAAAUACUUGUAAAGGAGAGCCACAGUCGGUGCAAUGUGUGCAACAAAACAUUUUGCUCAAAACAUUGUUUUACCCUUUUUGUGUGUGCUUUACUGUUUUAUACUUGGGAUAUCGCUUCUCACCAAGAAAAGUUCUUUUUUUUUGAAUCCCCAGAAGACGUCUUUAAAGGAUUGAGUAACCAGUACCAUAUUUUUUAAAUCCAAUGAACGCAGGAAGGAAUAUAACAUUUCACAUGGUUGAAAAAAAAUAGAUAUGCUAGUUUUCUAUGUAGGCUAGUCAUUUACAGUAGAUAACUGUGAAUCUGUCACAGCAGUCAGCAUUGCCUAUUUGGCAAAGACCAUUACCAAACAUGCCAUAAAAUAGUUAUUAACAGUGCUCAAACACCUAAACAAGGACAUUGACAAAACAGGGCACAAAAGUAUAUUUAUUGUAAAAAAUACAUAUAAAACCAACUUUGAGACAUACAAAAGAUUGGAGCUUAGAAACAGUAAAAUGAACAGACAAAGACCAAGCCAGUUUGAAUUGCAAUACAUAUUUACACUUUAAUAAAUAAAUGUAAUUGUUCUAUUAUACCAAAAAGAAGGCAAAUUGUCCAUAUCUUGGGAUGCAGAUAUCACUGUGGUGACCUUAAACAUUCUCAUUGAAUAUAUCAGCAUAACCGUCACAAAGCUCAGGGUCUAGGAGGCACAGAACCCUGUGAUUAAACGCCAAGAAUGCAAUACAUAGAAAAUAUCAUCCUUGGAGAAUAGCUAUGCAGCCAAGUAAUGGCAUUUGUAAAAAUUGAGGUAUUGCACCACGCAGAUAAAAAGGGAGAGUAGUAAAGUAACAUUUGGGGCUUCAGAUUUUUA